GGCGUAGAGCAGGCGGGUCUCACGCCCCCGCUCGAAGAGCUGCUGCCACCGCGACCGAGCUCCGGCCCCUCGCCGGCUACGCCGGGAGGAAGAGCUGCUGCCACCGCGACCGAGCUCCGGCCCCUCGCCGGCUACGCCGGGAGGAAGAGGCGGUAGUGGCUAAGAGGACCGACAACACUACCGUCGCGCCGCCUCGAGCAGCAGCUGGCCGCCCGCCGUGGUCCGCCGCCGCGCUGGUAAUCGUAGCCGUGGUCGCGUGCUCCAGUACCCCGCACUCCUCUCCCUCACCUAUCUACGUACCCCUCAUCCUCGGGCACCAGUACCGCCGCGUUGCCUCCAGCACCGGCCCGGGAACAGGGUUGGAGUUCGGUAACCCCUCCACUUCUACCACUACCGCCGUCCUCUUCGCGCGCCUCGUCGUCUUUGUAGUAGGGAGGAACGGAAAGAAAAUAGAGAAGGAUUAUCAAACAACCAGCUUAAAUAUCCUAAGAAUUAGCUGUCUAGUCCUUAGUGGAGGGGUAAGUCGAUUCGACGUACAGAAAACUAAUAUAAAACAGGAAAGAACAUGAAUGUAGAGUACGACACACCUAAAGGAUACCGAGUUCAAACAACGACGCGAGUCCAAAGUCGUUAACGACGUGGACGUUUAAACCCCAACUCACAUGUCAAAUGAAAGUCAGUUUUCGAUACGAUAAAAGUCGUGUUCUAUAAUAUACACCAGAAACUGUCUAAACUAACUAAAGCCUACUACAUGUACUUACUGUCACCUGCCUGUUCCUAGCUCCCUUACAUCUUCGCCGAAGCAGUCGCACACAGCUCUAAGAAUCGCUCGUCAAAGAACCUGUUCCUAACUUUUUAAAUUCAUACAUGAAUAAGGACACACGUCUAAUGGUACUUAUUCUGUUGACUUCUAAACUGGACGAGCUGUUUCAGGUUACUUUCUUCAUAUUACAUAGUAACUAAUAUCGAUUUCUACCUGUUCCUAACUCCCUUACAUCUUCGCCGAAACAGUAGCACACAGCUCCAAGAAUCGUUCGUCAAGGAGACUCUACCAAAGUCCAGCGACUAACAAAAGAUGGGAUACGUGUGUUCUACAGAGAGGAAAAUAUCUCAUAAAUUGGUUUUUGAUGGUGUAAAGUGCCUUUGCACAGCUUUUUGAUGGUGAAAUGCUAAAACACGCUUUUUGAUGGUGAAAAAGGCAUUAGGCACCGUUUUUUGAUGGUUCAGCGCUUUAGCGAGCGAAGCGGGCGCGAUUCGUGUUUUGACUGGCGAACCCGGGUGUUUGGUCCACGGUCGCACGGGGGAGCCGGGCAGGCCCAGCCGGCGGGGCCACAGCUUGUCCCGCGGCGGCGGCGCCCCCCGAGACAACGACGGCGACGGCGACGGCCACGAGACCGCGGCCAGCCGGAAGGAGCCCUACGCCGGCGGCAUCCUCCACGGCUCCUCCGGGGUCGGUAGGAGCAACCUCUCUACGGUCGGCUUCGCGAGCCGGUAGAGGACCUCCUGCGCGGGCCGCG
rnacentral:rRNA from 1 species